GAUGAACGCUGGCGGCGUGCCUAAUACAUGCAAGUCGAGCGAACAGACGAGGAGCUUGCUCCUCUGACGUUAGCGGCGGACGGGUGAGUAACACGUGGAUAACCUACCUAUAAGACUGGGAUAACUUCGGGAAACCGGAGCUAAUACCGGAUAAUAUAUUGAACCGCAUGGUUCAAUAGUGAAAGACGGUUUUGCUGUCACUUAUAGGUGGAUCCGUGCCGCAUUAGCUAGUUGGUAAGGUAACGGCUUACCAAGGCAACGAUGCGUAGCCGACCUGAGAGGGUGAUCGGCCACACUGGAACUGAGACACGGUCCAGACUCCUACGGGAGGCAGCAGUAGGGAAUCUUCCGCAAUGGGCGAAAGCCUGACGGAGCAACGCCGCGUGAGUGAUGAAGGUCUUCGGAUCGUAAAACUCUGUUAUUAGGGAAGAACAAAUGUGUAAGUAACUAUGCACGUCUUGACGGUACCUAAUCAGAAAGCCACGGCUAACUACGUG
rnacentral:rRNA from 1 species